UAAUACGGAGGAUCCAAGCGUUAUCCGGAAUCAUUGGGUUUAAAGGGUCCGUAGGCGGCCUUAUAAGUCAGUGGUGAAAUCUCCCGGCUCAACCGGGAAAUGGCCAUUGAUACUGUAGGGCUUGAAUUAUUAGGAAGUAACUAGAAUAUGUAGUGUAGCGGUGAAAUGCUUAGAUAUUACAUGGAAUACCGAUUGCGAAGGCAGGUUACUACUAAUUGAUUGACGCUGAUGGACGAAAGCGUGGGUAGCGAACAGGAUUAGAUACCCUGGUAGUCCACGCCGUAAACGAUGGAUACUAGCUGUUGGGAGCAAUCUCAGUGGCUAAGCGAAAGUGAUAAGUAUCCCACCUGGGGAGUACGAACGCAAGUUUG
rnacentral:rRNA from 1 species